UCCUACGGGAGGCAGCAGUGGGGAAUCUUGGACAAUGGGGGCAACCCUGAUCCAGCCAUGCCGCGUGAGUGAUGAAGGCCUUAGGGUCGUAAAGCUCUUUCGCCUGUGAAGAUAAUGACUGUAGCAGGUAAAGAAACCCCGGCUAACUCCGUGCCAGCAGCCGCGGUAAUACGGAGGGGGUUAGCGUUGUUCGGAAUUACUGGGCGUAAAGCGCGCGUAGGCGGACUGGAAAGUUGGGGGUGAAAUCCCAGGGCUCAACCCUGGAACUGCCUCCAAAACUAUCAGUCUAGAGUUCGAGAGAGGUGAGUGGAAUUCCGAGUGUAGAGGUGAAAUUCGUAGAUAUUCGGAGGAACACCAGUGGCGAAGGCGGCUCACUGGCUCGAUACUGACGCUGAGGUGCGAAAGUGUGGGGAGCAAACAGGAUUAGAUACCCUGGUAGUCCACACCGUAAACGAUGAAUGCCAGUCGUCGGGUAGCAUGCUAUUCGGUGACACACCUAACGGAUUAGGCAUUCCGCCUGGGGAGUACGGUCGCAAGAUUAAAACUCAAAGGAAUUGACGGAUCGAAUUCCCGCGGCC
rnacentral:rRNA from 1 species